rnacentral:lncRNA from 1 species
AGAACGGGUCACGUGAGCGCCUCGCCUGGAUGUGAGUUUCAGCCAGACCUGUGGAUAUCUGGGCUUUGGGCUGUAUGAUCAUUGAGAUGGCCACUGGAAAUCCCUAUCUUCCUAGUAGUUCUGAUUUGGAUUUACUCCAUAAAAUUGUUUUGAAAGUGGGCAAUUUGUCACCUCACUUGCAGAAUAUCUUUUCCAAGAGCCCCAUUUUUGCUGGGGUAGUUCUUCCUCAAGUUCAACACCCCAAAAAUGCAAGAAAAAAAUAUCCAAAGCUUAAUGGAUUGUUGGCAGAUAUAGUUCAUAGACGGGGUUUCACCGUGUUGGCUGUGGUUGGCCAGGCUGCUCUUGAACUCCUGAGCUUAGGUGAUCCGCCCACCUCGGCCUCCCAAAGUGCUGGGAUUACAGGCAUGAGUCACCGCACCCAGGCAGUUCAUGCUUGUUUACAAAUUGAUCCUGCUGACAGGAUAUCAUCUAGUGAUCUUUUGCAUCAUGAGUAUUUUACUAGAGAUGGAUUUAUUGAAAAAUUCAUGCCAGAACUGAAAGCUAAAUUACUGCAGGAAGCAAAAGUCAAUUCAUUAAUAAAGCCAAAAGAGAGUUCUAAAGAAAAUGAACUCAGGAAAGAUGAAAGAAAAACAGUUUAUACCAAUACACUGCUAAGUAGUUCAGUUUUGGGAAAGGAAAUAGAAAAAGAGAAAAAGCCCAAGGAGAUCAAAGUCAGAGUUAUUAAAGUCAAAGGAGGAAGAGGAGAUAUCUCAGAACCAAAAAAGAAAGAGUAUGAAGGUGGACUUGGUCAACAGGAUGCAAAUGAAAAUGUUCAUCCUAUGUCUCCAGAUACAAAACUUGUAACCAUUGAACCACCAAACCCUAUCAAUCCCAGCACUAACUGUAAUGGCUUGAAAGAAAAUCCACAUUGCGGAGGUUCUGUGACAAUGCCACCCAUCAAUCUAACUAACAGUAAUUUGAUGGCUGCAAAUCUCAGUUCAAAUCUCUUUCACCCCAGUGUGAGGUUAACUGAAAGAGCAAAAAAGAGACGCACUUCUUCACAAUCUAUUGGACAAGUUAUGCCUAAUAGCAGGCAAGAGGAUCCAGGUCCUAUUCAAAGCCAAAUGGAGAAGGGUAUAUUUAAUGAGCGAACAGGUCACAGUGACCAAAUGGCAAAUGAGAACAAAAGGAAGCUGAAUUUUUCCAGAUCUGACAGGAAAGAAUUCCAUUUUCCAGAAUUGCCUGUCACAAUACAGUCAAAAGAUACAAAAGGAAUGGAAGUUAAACAGAUAAAAAUGCUGAAGAGGGAGUCAAAGAAAACAGAGUCAUCUAAGAUACCAACUUUACUUAACGUGGAUCAAAAUCAAGAAAAACAAGAGGUACGUCUUUAUCAGCGGCAUGAAGACAGACCAAUACAGUGAAUUGGUACCAGUAGAGUGGGGCAUUGCUGAAAAGAUACCCAAAAAUGUGGAAGCAACUUUGGAACUGGGUAACAGGCAGAGGUUUGAACAGUUUGGAGAGCUCAGAAGAAGACAGGAAAAUGUGGGAAAGUUUGGAACUUUCUAGAGACUUGUUGAAUGGCUUUGACCAGAAGCUUGAUCAUGAUAUGGACAAUAAAAUCCAAGCUGAGGUGGUCUCAGAUAGAGAUGAGGAACUUGUUGGGAACUGGAGCAAAGGUGACUCUUGUUAUGUUUUAGCAAAGAGAUUGGCAGCAUUUUGCCCCUGCACUAGAGAUUGUGGAACUUUGAACUUGAGAGAGGUGAUUUAGGGUAACUGGUGGAAGAAAUUUCUUUUUGUUGUUGUUGUUUUUUUUCUUUUUUGAGACAGUCUCACUCUAUAACCAGUCUGGAGUGCAGUGGCAUGAUCUUGGCUCACUGCAAC